CGGGGGAGGCCGGAUCCUGGGCUGUGUCCCGGCGCCCUGUGCUCCGGAGCCUGCGCUGUUGGAUUCGCGCUCCCGGGCCGCGCAGCUCCCU
rfam:Canis lupus familiaris chromosome 3, whole genome shotgun sequence.